AGGGCCGCGCGCUCUCGCCUGCCCGCCCCGAACCGCCCCGCGCUGGGAAUUUGCCGCGGCCUCCGCGGGGGCAGCCGAGCUGAACCGGUCUCUUCCUCGGAAAGGCAGGGCCGAGGGGCUCGCGGGGCAGCCAUGGAGGCGACGCGGAGGCGGCAGCACUUGGGAGCGGCGGGCGGCCCGGGCGCGCAGCUGGGCGCCUCCUUCCUGCAGGCCAGGCAUGGCUCUGUGAGCGCUGAUGAGGCUGCCCACACGGCUCCCUUCCACCUCGACCUCUGGUUCUACUUUACACUGCAGAACUGGGUUCUGGACUUUGGGCGUCCCAUUGCCAUGCUGGUAUUCCCUCUCGAGUGGUUUCCACUCAACAAGCCCAGUGUUGGGGACUACUUCCACAUGGCCUACAACGUCAUCACGCCCUUUCUCUUGCUCAAGGUACUGUCCCAGGGCCCCCACUCUUUCCUGUCAUCCCCAUUCUUUGCACACCUGGCAGGAAGGUGAUGCUAAGCCCUGUGUCCUGACUCAAGCACGCUCCUGCCUGCUGCUGGGGGGUGAAGGCUGUGACAGAGCAGCAUGUCCAGGGCCUGGGGCCCGGGGAAGGCGGAGCUGCCGGUGGCCUGGAGGGAUGGAAAAUAUGCCCCAAGAAAGGGCUUUUGAUUUGAGCCUCAGCCUGGCGUGCCAGUGGGGGAAGCAGAGAUGUGUUCAGGUAGAAGGACCUAAAGACAAGGCUGUGCUUGGGAAACCGUAAAACAUUUGGGGAGGCUGAGGCAGAAGUGACUGGAGGUCCAGGGAGAGGUCAAGGACCCACUGGGAAGAGAGGAAGAAGCCAGGUGGCAGGAGAGGCAGCAGCAGCAGCUGAACUCCAUCCUCCACCCUGGAGAGCCCUGAGAUGUCACUGGG
rnacentral:sRNA from 1 species